rnacentral:rRNA from 1 species
GAGGUGCAUGGCCGUCGUCAGUUCGUACUGUGAAGCAUCCUGUUAAGUCAGGCAACGAGCGAGACCCACGCCAACAGUUGCCAGCUCGUCCUCCGGGGAUGGUGGGGACACUGUUGGGACCGCCUCUGCUAAAGAGGAGGAAGGAAUGGGCAACGGUAGGUCAGCAUGCCCCGAAUUAUCUGGGCUACACGCGGGCUACAAUGGGUGGGACAAUGGGUAUCGACACCGAAAGGUGAAGGCAAUCUCCUAAACCCAUCCGUAGUUCGGAUUGUGGGCUGCAACUCGCCCACAUGAAGCUGGAAUCUGUAGUAAUCGUGUCUCAAAAUGGCACGGUGAAUAUGUCCCUGCUCCUU